AAGUUGCGGACAGUCCAUCAACACUGCUGCAAGCGCCGGGCUGGCAGGCCUGACGCAGUUUGGCUGGCAGCUUGCAAGCUAUGGGAACCUGGGGAACUGCACCACAAGAGUCAGAGUGACACCCACCCUGCACUCCUUCAACGCUGGCACCAUAAGGAAGGGGGAGCUGCCCCCAAAGUGAAUGCAAUGGCAGACAUCUUGGCAGUAGCGGC